ACAAUGCACCCCAGGGGCGGGCCGAGUCGGGCUGAGCGGCUGGAGCUGGGCCUUGGCCGCGAGAGGCCGGCGAAAGCUAUCUUCCUGCACCGGCGGCCGGGUGAGGGCGGUGGGAGGGCGCGGUGCCUGCGCUGUGGCCAUGUCUGUGUACGCAGGGGGCCGGGGCCCCGCGAAGCUGUGCCCUCAGGCCGGCCCCGGCCGGACACCCUUACCCCUCCAUGGGUCCGGCAGAGGGCAGUGACCGGCACCUUCUGUGCGUCCUGGACCCCUCUGAGAAACAGGAGAGCUCAAAGGAUGGCUACUGACAUGCAGAGGAAGAGAAGCAGCGAAUGCCUUGAUGGCACAUUGACUCCUUCUGAUGGACAGAGUAUGGAGAGAGCUGAGAGCCCCACACCAGGAAUGGCCCAGGGAAUGGAGCCAGAUGGCUACAAGGUAGUAUUCGUGCGCCGGAGCCCGCUGGUGCUAGUGGCGGUGGCUCGUACGCGGCAGUCGGCACAAGAGCUGGCGCAGGAGCUGCUCUACAUCUACUACCAGAUCCUAAGCCUUCUUACCGGUGCGCAGCUGAGCCACAUCUUCCAGCAGAAGCAGAACUAUGAUCUGCGGCGCCUACUCUCGGGCUCAGAGCGCAUCACCGACAACCUGCUGCAGCUCAUGGCACGAGACCCCAGCUUCCUGAUGGGGGCGGCACGGUGCCUGCCCCUGGCGGCGGCCGUGCGCGACACUGUGAGCGCCAGCCUGCAGCAGGCGCGUGCGCGCAGCCUGGUCUUCUCCAUCCUGCUGGCCCGCAACCAGCUCGUGGCACUCGUGCGCCGAAAGGACCAAUUUCUGCACCCCAUCGACCUGCACCUGCUCUUCAACCUCAUUAGUUCCUCCUCGUCCUUUCGCGAGGGCGAGGCCUGGACGCCCGUGUGCCUGCCCAAAUUCAACGCAGCCGGCUUCUUCCACGCACACAUCUCUUACCUAGAGCCUGACACCGACCUCUGCCUGCUGCUUGUCUCCACUGACCGUGAGGACUUCUUUGCAGUCUCUGACUGCCGCCGCCGCUUCCAGGAGCGCCUUCGCAAGCGCGGAGCCCACCUGGCCCUGCGAGAGGCACUGCGCACACCCUACUACAGCGUUGCCCAAGUGGGCAUCCCUGACCUGCGUCACUUCCUCUAUAAGUCAAAGAGCUCGGGACUCUUCACCAGGUGAGGGAGGGCCUUGAGGGCACUGCUGUAGCGGGACAGGGACAUGUGGAGUCGGGAGGCUGUUUGGUCCUGAGCUCUGAGAUGUAGCCCUGAAGCUGUCCCUACCUUUGGAAGCAGACCAGUGUGCUGGGCCUGUUUUACUCUGGCACCAGAGACCCAGACUCUCCAUCACCCCAUGAGCAUACCCUCUCUACUUUAUUAACCAGAAGGCCUGGAAAUGCCCAAUAUACCCAGAGAAGGAAACUGGAACAGAGGUCUCUGGGGUCCUUUGCCCUGGAGCAACUCUACUUUAGGGGUCAUUUUGGUCCAGCCCAGGAAGCACAGCCCUCCUCCACCCACUCCCCCAGCAGAGGGGCUGGGAAGAUAUGGCCUCCCUUUGUCCCUUUUGGCCCACAGGAUUCCUAGCUCACCUUUCCUCUACUCCAGAUCUGUCACUCUGUCUUGGACAUCUAAACUCAACCUGGCCUCUCCAAAGAGGGGUCACCAAAGACACUAUGAGCUUAGGGGGUGAGAGGGGACACAGCUCUAGUCUCAGUGGGCCCAGCCCUGUCCUGGGGUGCCUGCUAUGGUGGGGAGACAAUGCCCUGUCCUAAGGGAGCAUCUGGAGGGUAGGACAUAAGAUAGAGUCUUCCUGGAUAGGAAUAGGUGUUUCUAAAUCUCUAGAGAAGACAGUGGAAGUCAUUCCUUUGCAAACCCACUCCCUCCACCCUGUCUGCAGCCCUGAGAUUGAGGCCCCAUACACCAGUGAAGAGGAGCAGGAGCGGCUGCUGGGCCUCUACCAGUACUUGCACAGUCGUGCCCACAAUGCCUCUCGCCCACUCAAGACCAUUUACUACACGGGCCCCAACGAGAACCUCCUGGCCUGGGUAAGGUAGCCCUGGGAUGGGCUGGGCUUUAUGGAGGUCCUAGGUAUGGGCCAUGAGGGGCCUCUAACCUAGAUGACGACCCUUUGCCCCUUCUCCAGGUGACAGGCGCCUUUGAGCUCUACAUGUGUUACAGCCCCCUGGGGACCAAGGCGUCAGCCGUCAGUGCCAUCCAUAAGCUGAUGCGCUGGAUCCGCAAAGAGGAAGACCGUCUCUUCAUUCUCACGCCCCUCACCUAUUGAUGGGAAUGUGUGCAGGCUCAGCCUUCCUGGACACACUAGGUGUGGGAAGCCAUGGGAGCCUCCAGAUGGGGGCUGGCCUCUCUUGCCCAGCCAGCGGGCAGGGACUGUGGGUUGGUGAAUGCAUUAAAGUGCUUUGGGG
rnacentral:sRNA from 1 species